GGAACGUCACGUGUCCUAGGUACAACGGUUACACUGCUCUUCACGUCGCCGUAUGUGAAGGAAACGUUGAAAUAGUGAAAUACCUAUUGGAACAAGGCAGCGACAUCGAUAAACGCGAUAUCCAUGGUUGGACACCAAGGGACCUAGCUGCACAACAAGGGCACGAAGACAUCGAGACGAUAUUCAAAUCAUUAACCAAAAAGAAGAAAACUCAACCAAUCAUGACUAUCCCAGAGAAGCAUGAAGUACGUUUCCUCGGAAGGUUUACAAGCGAACCGGUCAUAUCCACGGCAACGUCUGGUGAUGGUUUGGAUGGAUCAUCAAGAGGCAAAUCUCGACGACCGAGGCGUAAGAGCAGUAACUUCAACAACUCUCUGUUUGGUAUAAUGUCACAAAAUGUCGAGAAGGAUUUAUUACUAUCAGUUCAUCAACCAAAAGGUAUGAAGGAUCCUUUAGUUAAAUCAAGUAGAGUGAUAAUUACUUGCCCUGAAAAAGGAGACACCAUUGGGAAGCUUGUUUUAGUACCUGGGAGCAUGGAGGAAUUGGUUGAGAUUGGAGCUAAUAAAUUUGGGAUA
rnacentral:lncRNA from 1 species